UGGGCGGUUACUCAGCCUACAAACACAGGUUUCCCAGCACUUGAACUUGAGACUCCUGAAACCGACAAGGUGGUUCAGAAUUCCUUGGAGGAGCUGGGGAGAUGGUAUCAUCUCUGUCACUUGUGGGACUAAAGACCAUUUCAUUUUGCCCAGCAAUAGCCUAGAAUCUGGCACCUGUAGGACUAAAGACCGGGAAUAGCCUGGAAGAAGUGGGUGGGGAGCGCCAGGCAGGGCAGACCAGAUCGCAAAGGAAAAAACCCUGGCGUGCAAGCACCGAUAGGAGAGGAAAUGUUUGCUCAGCUGUAAAGGAGGGAGAGAAAAGGGAGAAAGCACAGGCGGCGUGGCAGGUCUUGUUUCAGUGAGAAUGUAAAGUACGUGAGCUAUGUGCUUUGUGAUGAAGUCGUUGAUUUAUUUCACUUUGGAACAAGCACACCACAACAAAGUGAGAAUGAGAAGAUGGAGUCUCACUCUGUCGCCCGAGCUGGAGUGCAGUGGCACGAUCUCUGCUCACUGCAACCGCCGCCUCCAGGUUCAAGCAAUUCUUUUGCCUCAGCCUCCCGAGUAGCUGGGACUAAAGGCAAGCGCCACCACGCCUGGCUAAUAUUUGCAUUUUUAGUAGAGAUGGCGUUUUACCAUAUUGACCAGGCAGCUCUCGAAGUCCAGACCUUGUGGUCAGGCUCGUCUCGAAUUUCUGACCUCAUGAUCCGCCUGCCUCGGCCUCCCAAAGUGCUGGGAUUACAGGCGUGAGCCACUGUGCCUGAUUCUUUACUUUCUUAAUAAACUUUCACUUUACUCUA